UAUCAGGGAAUCUACUUAUUGAGUUAAUUUAUGUUUUCCUAGAAAAUUCAACUUUAUGCUGUCUACAAGAGGCAUACUAACUCAUAAAAAUUAAAAGACUGACCCAGAAAACACAGCAAAAAGAAAAAUAUCACGAAAUGAUUGUCAGUCCAAUUAAAAUUCAAGACUGGAAGAAUUCAUGGGUCAGAGAAGAACAGCUGGUACAAGUGGAUCUGCUCGGCACCUAUAACCUAAUUACCUCUCAGGCUCACACAAGUCUCUGGCCGCUAAGCGAAUGAUCUCCCAAAGGGAUUAUUCUCAAGCAGCACAGAAACUGUCCCUAUGCCUCAGGUGGCCCCAGAACUCUUUCGUACUAGAGACUUAUCUGUUAAUAAAGUUAACAAAGGAAAGUGGCCUUCCAAGAAUGUUUGUUUGGGCCACUACCUGGAAGAAAUAACACUUGACCAUGAGAGACUUGGCUGAGCAGUGCUGGGUCAGCUUAACCAAAGAAGACCAGCCAUCACCCACGGCAAGAGCAGCUCUGACUUGGACCCACUGUUCCCCCAGCCUGUUAGCAGCCUGUGAACAAUCUUUAAGUGACCCCUGGCCCUGUCACAUCUCCAUUCAACAGGGUUCUUGGGGAGGAUGUGUGGACCGAGAACAGUGCCCACCCACACCACCUGUAAGUGUGGCCACGGCAGCCAGCCAGCAUGGAUGCUAAGUAACAAGUGGUAUUGGGGCACAGAUGUGGCGGGAGCGCUUUGGGGCAAAGAAAGAGGUGCUGUGAGUGAGGACAGAAAGGAAGGGGAAAAAAAAGCCUCAUGGGUUAGAGCGCCUCUCACCUUUGGCUCUUCUUCAGAAGACUGGUAAAAGAAAACAAGAAGAGAAAUUGGUUUCCCUGACUUCUCUAAAGCAAGCGUUCUUCAGAAAAGAGAAUCGAUCAGCCUGGUUAAAGUGGAUAAACUAUGUGAUGUCCAUCCAGAGAGGUGUCUAUUAAUGGCUGUAAAAUGGAAAGAUGAAUCAAUGGGACCGAUUAAUAUUUAUGAAGAGUUGAACUAGGCAGAGUGAAAAAGCCUUGUAUAUUGGAUAAGAAAGGAAAAGCAUUGCACACCAUAGGAUGCGUUUGUUUGGCUAAGGUUUCUGUUUUGAUCACUGGGUAAUUGUAUAGAGCAGGGGCGUAUGGUAGAGAAAGAAAAUCUAUAUCUAGAAGUUAUUGACUUUAUGUACAAAAGCACUGGUUGGUGCCUAUUUUUGAGGACCACUCCAUCUUAAAAAUAACUUUGGUUUUGUACGGCCUAGUUGUGGUGGAAAAGGAGCUCCAAAGAGUAAGCAAGUUUCCUACAAAAAGAAUCCAAGCUGUUGAAACUACAAUUAAGAAAUGCAAAGAGUUACUAAUUUUACUACUUAGAGGAAAGGAAAUUCACAAGCAGGAAAGAAACUGUGGAUCAGGGCAAGUUGUAACUCUAGAGGUUCAGAGAUAGGAGCUCUAAUUACACCAGGGCAAGGGAGUACUGUUUGGGGAAAUUUCUGAAACAUGAAAUAGGAAAGCUGAGGGUCAAAAUGAUAUUGUGAUGUGAAUAAAUAGAGAAGACAUGUUUGCAUGGAGCUCAGCUGGGUAAUCAUGGAAAGAAGGAGGGGCGAAGGAGGAAACUGAAAAUCGAAAUAAAGAACAGAAGCACAGACCAUGAAAUAUGCCAAAUAUAGUGUGCAAAUACUCAGAAGGCAUGGAAAGAUAAGUUAGAAGCCAAAACUCAGUUAUCACUAUCGUGUGAAGGAACAAUAAAACUCUUAGCAAAAACAAA